UGGGGAAUAUUGCACAAUGGGCGAAAGCCUGAUGCAGCAACGCCGCGUGAGUGAUGAAGGUCUUCGGAUUUGUAAAGCUCUGUCUUUUGGGACGAUAAUGACGGUACCAAAGGAGGAAGCCACGGCUAACUACGUGCCAGCAGCCGCGGUAAUACGUAGGUGGCGAGCGUUGUCCGGAUUUACUGGGCGUAAAGGGUGCGUAGGCGGAUGUUUAAGUGAGAUGUGAAAUACCCGGGCUUAACUUGGGUGCUGCAUUUCAAACUGGAUAUCUAGAGUGCAGGAGAGGAGAAUGGAAUUCCUAGUGUAGCGGUGAAAUGCGUAGAGAUUAGGAAGAACACCAGUGGCGAAGGCGAUUCUCUGGACUGUAACUGACGCUGAGGCACGAAAGCGUGGGUAGCAAACAGGAUUAG
rnacentral:rRNA from 1 species